CUCCUUUCUAGUGUUGCUUCUUCUUGUUAGUUCUGGUAACGUCGCGCUUGUGAGGAUCCGUUCGACCACGUCCGUUUGUCUUCUUCAUGGACUCGUUCUUCUUCCAUGCGGGAUUUCAGGCAAGAUGACCAUACCCUCGAUAUCACUUCUAUCUUUGCUUGCUAGUUGUUUGCUCUAUCGCUAUGUCGCGCUAGCUACCACUUGUUUAUCAUGCCUCCCAUGUUGCCAUGUCAAGUCUCUAACCCACAUUCCUAGCAAACUGUUGUUUGGCUAUGUUACCGUUUUUGCUCAGCCCCUCUUAUAGCGUUGCUAGUUGCAGGUGCCUUGCAGUUUGUUCCAUGUUGGAACAUGGAUAUGUUGGGAUAACAUAUUAUCUCUUAUUUAAUUAAUGCAUCUAUAUAUUUGGUAAAGGGUGGAAGGCUCGGCCUUAUGCCUAGUGUUUUGUUCCACUCUUGCCGCCUUAGUUUCCGUCAUACCGGUGUUAUGUUCCUUGAUUUGGCGUUCCUAAUGCAGUUGGGGUUAUGGGACCCCCUUGACGGUUUGCUUUGAAUAAAACUCCUCCAGCAAGGCCCAACCUUGGUUUUAACAUUUGCCACCACCACCUAUUAAUUUUCCCUUGGGAGUCGCACUCCCGAGGGUCAUCUUUAUUUAACCCCCCGGGCCAGUGCUUCUCUAAGUGUUGGUCUGAACGGGGCAACCCGCGGGGCCACCUCAGGGAAACUUGAGGGCUGGUUUUACUCGUAGCUUGACCUAUCCAGUGUGCCCUGAGAACGAGAUAUGUGCAGCUCCUAUCGGGGUUUGUCGGCACAGUCGGGUGGCUUUGCUGGUCUUGUUUUACCAUUGUCGAAAUGUCUUGUAACCGGGAUUCCGAGUCUAAUCUGGUCUUCCCGGGAGAAGGAGUAUCCUUUGUUGAUCAUGAGAGCUUGUGAUGGGCUAAGUUGGGACACCCCUGCAGGGUAUAAACUUUCAAGAGCCGUGCCCGCGGUUAUGUGGUAGAUGGGAAUUUGUUAAUAUCCGGUUGUAUAGAACUUGACACUUAACUUAAUUAAAAUGAAUCAACCGCGUGUGUAGCCGUGAUGGUCUCUUUUCAGCUGAGUCCGAGAAGUGAACACAGUUUGGGUUAUGUUUGAACAUAAGUAGUUUCAGGAUCACUUCUUGAUCACUUGUAGUUUAACGACCGUUGCAUAGUUUCUCAUCUUACUCUUGUACUCGUAAGUUAGCUACCAUAUUUGCUUAGCGCUUGCUGCAACUCCACCUCACUACCUUAUCCUUCCCAUAAGCUUAAAUAGUUUUGAUCUCACGGGUGUGAGAUUGCUGAGUCCUCGUGACUCACGGAUACUUCGAAACAGUUGCAGGUGCCGAUGAUACCAGUGCAGGUGAAGCAACCGAGCUCAAGUGGGAGUUCGAUGAAGAUCUUGGCCAUUGUUAUGUGUCUUUUCCGGAUGAUCAGUAGUGGUGCCCAGUUGGGACGAUCGGGGAUCUAGCAUUUGGGGUUGUCUUUUUUUAUUUUGGUUCCGUAGUCGGACCUUGAUUGUACUCUGGAUGAUGUAUGUUUAACUUGUUAUUUGUGUGAAGUGGCGAUUGUAAGCCAACUCUUUAUCUCUUUCUUAUUCAGUACAUGGGAUUGUGUGAAG
rnacentral:lncRNA from 1 species